UGCAGAGAAGAAGUUCUACUUCAGCGAGAUCAGGGCUGGGAAGAAAAGUCCUUUCACAGGCCUUUGUGAGAGAUGUUCCUGCUAGGCUGUAAGAGCACUGUGGAGAGCGAGUUGUUUCUUAGCUUCCCAAAGAGCUGGAAGCAAGACCAUUUGUGGUUUGUCUCCUUUGGUGGCAAUGACUCAGCGCUUUGUGUCUUCCAUAUCUAGAGCAAUGUGGGACAUGGCUCAGAGCUGAAGUUCCAAGACAGUGAGAUCAUGGCUGGAAACAAACUGCAUUUCAGGCCUUUGUAUGAGAGGUUCCCGAUAGGCUGUAAGAGCCCUGUGGAACUCGAGUACUUUCUCACCUUGCCAAAGAGCUGGAAACGAGACGGUCUUUUUCCUGUCUCCUCUUAAGGGAGCAAGUAGGCCAUUGUGACUUCCACCUCUAGCGAAAUGUAUUAUACGGCAUAGCAGAAGUUCUACUUCAGCGAGAUCAGGGCUGGGAAGAAUGUGCGUUUCACAGGAUUUUUGAGAGAUGUUCCUGGCAGGCUGUAAGAGCACUGUUGAGAGCGAGUUGUUUCUUAGCUUCCCAAAGAGCUGGAAUCAAGAUGCUUUGUGGCCUGUCUCCACUUCAGGAACAAGGCAGGACUUUGUGACUUGCACCUCUAGGGCAAAGUACGACACGUCAAAGGAGAAGUUCUACUUCAGCCAGAUCAGGGCUGGGAAGAAACUGCGUUUCACAGGCAUUUGUAAGAGAUGUCCCUGGUAGGCUGUAAGAGCACUGUGUAGAGGGAGUUGUUUCUUAGCUUCCAAAAGAGCUGGAAGCAAGGCCGUUUGUGGCUUCUCUCAUUUGGCAGCAAUGACUCAGUGGGUUGUCUCUUCCACCUCUAGAGCAAUGUAGAACAUGGCAUAGAGCAGAAGUUCCAAGGCGGUGAGAUCAUGGCUGCAAACAAACUGCAUUUCAGGCCUUUGAAUGAGAGGUUCCCGGUAGGCUGUAAGAGCCCUGUGGAAAGCGAGUCCUUUCUCACCUUGCCAAAGAGCUUGAAUCGAGACAGCCUGUGGCCUGUCUCCUCUUAAGGAAGACAGGCAGGCCAUUGUGCCUUGCACCUCUAGGGCAAAGUAGGACAUGGCACUGCAGAAGUUCUACUUCAGUGAGAUCAGUGCUGGAAAGAAACUGCGUUUCACAGGCCUUUGUAAGAGAUGUUCCCGGUAGGCUGUAAGAGCUCUGUGGAGAGGGACUUGUUUCUUAGCUUCCCCAAGAACUGGAAGCAAGACGAUUUUUGGCCUGCCUCCUUUUGAGGAAUCAAGACAGGAUUUUGUGCCUUGCACCUCUAAUGCAAUCUAGGACACGGCAGAGCAGAAGUUCUACUUCAGCGAGAUCAGGGCUGGGAAGAAACUGCGUUUCCCAGGCCUUUGUGAGAGAUGUUUUUGGUUGGGUGUAAGAGCACUGUGGA
rnacentral:lncRNA from 1 species